rnacentral:tRNA from 29 species
CGCGCGGUGGAGCAGCUGGUAGCUCGUUGGGCUCAUAACCCAAAGGCCACAGGUUCGAAUCCUGUCCGCGCAACCG